AGAAUCAACGCUGGCGGCGUGCCUAACACAUGCAAGUCGAACGAGAAAGUGGUAGCAAUACCAUGAGUAAAGUGGCGCACGGGUGAGUAACACGUGACUAACCUACCCUUGAGUGGGGGAUAACUGAGGGAAACCUUAGCUAAUACCGCAUAAUACCUACGGGUCAAAGGAGCAAUUCGCUUAAGGAGGGGGUCGCGGCCGAUUAGUUAGUUGGCGGGGUAAUGGCCCACCAAGACUGUGAUCGGUAUCCGGCCUGAGAGGGCGCACGGACACACUGGAACUGAAACACGGUCCAGACUCCUACGGGAGGCAGCAGUGGGGAAUUUUGCGCAAUGGGGGAAACCCUGACGCAGCAACGCCGCGUGGAGGAUGAAGUCCUUCGGGACGUAAACUCCUUUCGAUCGGGACGAUUAUGACGGUACCGGAAGAAGAAGCCCCGGCUAACUUCGUGCCAGCAGCCGCGGCAAUACGAGGGGGGCGAGCGUUGUUCGGAAUUAUUGGGUGUAAAGGGCGUGUAGGUGGAACUUUAAGUCGGUGGUGAAAGCCUGCAGCUUAACUCAGAACUGCCCUCGAUACUGAAGUUCUUGAGUACGGCAGAGGGAGAUGGAAUUCAUGGUGUAGCGGUGAAAUGUGUAGAUAUCAUGAAGAACACCGGUAGCGAAGGCGGUCUCCUGGUCCGUAACUGACACUGAGGCGCGAAAGCGUGGGGAGCAAACAGGAUUAGAUACCCUGGUAGUCCACGCCUUAAACGAUGGGUACUAGGUGCUGGGCCGUAAGGUUCAGUGCCAAAGCUAACGCAUUAAGUACCCCACCUGGGGAGUACGAUCGCAAGGUGAA
rnacentral:rRNA from 1 species